GUUUGGAUGGCCAACUGGUCUAAGGCACUGCAUUCAGGUCACAGUCUACCCUGGAGGUGUGGGUUCGAAUCCCAUUCCUGACA
rfam:Cricetulus griseus cell line CHO-K1, whole genome shotgun sequence.